CAUAGACUCUUGCUGACAGUCCUAAAAUCAGCCAUGGUGACAAUUAACUGGAGAAGCCCAGAAGUAUAGAGAAGCUAGUAAAGAGGUCAUGGCUCCAGCCUGAGUCCUUUCAGACCAUCUCUUGACCACAAGGAGGAAUCUUCCUUCCAGGAAUGUUUUGGGUUCUACCACAAAGACACAGCAGGGGGGGAAAUCACACUUAUCUUCAUUUCUGUAAUAAAGUGAGAAAAACAAA